AGGACGAACGCUGGCGGCGUGCCUAACACAUGCAAGUCGAACGGGGUGAUUCCUUCGGGGAUCACUUAGUGGCGAACGGGUGAGUAACGCGUGAGGAACCUGCCUUUCAGUGGGGGACAACAGUUGGAAACGACUGCUAAUACCGCAUAAUGUAGCGAGACCGCAUGAUCUUGCUACCAAAGCUUUAUGUGCUGAAAGAUGGCCUCGCGUCUGAUUAGAUAGUUGGUGAGGUAACGGCUCACCAAGUCGACGAUCAGUAGCCGGUCUGAGAGGAUGAACGGCCACAUUGGGACUGAGAUACGGCCCAGACUCCUACGGGAGGCAGCAGUGGGGAAUAUUGGGCAAUGGGGGAAACCCUGACCCAGCAACGCCGCGUGAAGGAAGAAGGCCUUCGGGUUGUAAACUUCUUUUGGCAGGGACGAAUAAAAUGACGGUACCUGCAGAAUAAGCCACGGCUAACUACGUG
rnacentral:rRNA from 1 species